AAGCAUACAUGCUCCAAACCAGGAACUUCGAAAAAUGUUUGUUCCCAGUGCAAAGUCUUACCCCUUAGAUGCGUUAAUGGAUGACUGCAAGGACUAUUUCCUCCAAACUGGACGCAGAGUAACCUUUGAGUAUACACUUUUAGCUGGUCUCAAUGAUAGAAUAGAGCAUGCAGUAGAACUUGCAGAAAUGCUUCAUUCGUGCGGUCGGGGUUAUCAUGUGAACCUGAUACCUUUCAAUCCUAUAGAAGGUUCUGAAUACCGAAGGCCAUAUAAGAAAGCGGUAUCAACUUGAUGGAUUACACAUUCAAUUCUGUUUUUUGGUUCCUAAUAGAGCAAGCAGCAGAGCUUGGUUGACUGGGCUCGCCCCAAGCUUAAUGACAAUAUUGUAGAGAUGAUGAUGCCGACCCUUGAUACAUAUUGUAGAUUGUGUACUUAGGAAUUUGACUUGUAUGUUUUUAGAAUGUUUUUGAAGUACAAUGUAAUCAAAUAUGAUAAUAUGAAUGCAAUCAAAGUUCUUGUUUGUGACUCAUAUUUUGUUAUA